CUAAUACCGCAUAAGCCCACAGGUCGGCAUCGACCAGAGGGAAAAGGAGCAAUCCGCUUUGAGAUGGCCUCGCGUCCGAUUAGCUAGUUGGUGAGGUAACGGCCCACCAAGGCAACGAUCGGUAGCCGGACUGAGAGGUUGAACGGCCACAUUGGGACUGAGACACGGCCCAGACUCCUACGGGAGGCAGCAGUGGGGAAUAUUGCACAAUGGGGGAAACCCUGAUGCAGCGACGCCGCGUGGAGGAAGAAGGUCUUCGGAUUGUAAACUCCUGUUGUUGAGGAAGAUAAUGACGGUACUCAACAAGGAAGUGACGGCUAACUACGUGCCAGCAGCCGCGGUAAAACGUAGGUCACAAGCGUUGUCCGGAAUUACUGGGUGUAAAGGGAGCGCAGGCGGGAAGACAAGUUGGAAGUGAAAUCUAUGGGCUCAACCCAUAAACUGCUUUCAAAACUGUUUUUCUUGAGUAGUGCAGAGGUAGGCGGAAUUCCCGGUGUAGCGGUGGAAUGCGUAGAUAUCGGGAGGAACACCAGUGGCGAAGGCGGCCUACUGGGCACCAACUGACGCUGAGGCUCGAAAGUGUGGGUAGCAAACAGGAUUAGAUACCCUGGUAGUCCACACCGUAAACGAUGAUUACUAGGUGUUGGAGGAUUGACCCCUUCAGUGCCGC
rnacentral:rRNA from 1 species